rnacentral:rRNA from 1 species
UACGUAGGGUGCAAGCAUUAUCCGGAGUGACUGGGCGUAAAGAGUUGCGUAGGUGGUUUGUUAAGUAGAUAGUGAAAUCUGGCGGCUCAACCGUACAGGCUAUUAUCUAAACUGGCAGACUCGAGAAUGGUAGAGGUAACUGGAAUUUCUUGUGUAGGAGUGAAAUCCGUAGAUAUAAGAAGGAACACCAAUGGCGUAGGCAGGUUACUGGACCAUUUCUGACACUGAGGCACGAAAGCGUGGGGAGCGAACGGG